rnacentral:rRNA from 1 species
UACGUAGGGGGCGAGCGUUGUCCGGAAUCAUUGGGCGUAAAGCGCGUGUAGGCGGCCCGGUAAGUCCGCUGUGAAAGUCCAGGGCUCAACCCUGGGAUGCCGGUGGAUACUGUCGGGCUCGAGUCCGGAAGAGGCGUGUGGAAUUCCUGGUGUAGCGGUGAAAUGCGCAGAUAUCAGGAGGAACACCAAUGGCGAAGGCAGCUCGCUGGGACGUGACUGACGCUGAGACGCGAAAGCGUGGGGAGCAAACAGG